CUAGAGAUGCCUGAGCGGUCGAAAGGAAUGCUUUGCUAAAGCAUCAAUCAUUAAUUUUGAUUCAAGGGUUCGAAUCCCUUUCUCUCCA
rnacentral:tRNA from 1 species